GUACGUAUUUUUUUAGACGAACAUUUCUUUAAUAUACGACUCGUAGGCCGUAGCAAUUACUAUUAGAUAUAGAACCGGAGUGCAUCGAAAAGUAUUUCAAAAGAGUGGUUAAAGUUGGUACUUUAGACAAGAAGCCAGGCGUCGACACUCUGUAACUUCCAAUAGCGAAGAUGUUGUAUGAUAUUUUAAUUUAUAGAGCCAAGUUAACAAAGGAAUUGGCAACGCGGUACUCAACGUAAUCUAUAAUAAAAGUGCAAUAUCUAUAUGACGUCACUAAAGCGUAACCGAACUAAAUGGUGCUAUAAUAUGAAAUGAUAAACGAACAUCAUGUGUCGGUGUUUUGGACAGUAACCUGAAGGUGGUCUCGUCG